rnacentral:lncRNA from 1 species
UUUUAUAUUCUUGUGUGGUUCUUAUUAUAUUUUUUCAGUAUCUUUUGUUCUUCUUUCUACUAUGUUCUCACAUGCUAUGUUUCUAUGCCAUGUUUCUAUGCUAUGUUCUGCUAUUUGCCUUCCACUAUGACCUGAUUUGAUUUGCCUACUUCAUUUUUCAACCAUGUUUAUUAAGUGUUCUUGUUGUGCCAUCUUAAGCAUGUUUUCCUUCCUUCCACUAUGACCUGAUUUGAUUCGUCUACUGCAUUUUUCAACCAUGUUCAUUAAGUGUUCUUGUUGUGCCUACUUAAGCGUAUUUUUCUCUACUGUUUCUCCUAAUCUCAUUGUAUUUUAAUCUGUUUGCAUUAAAACUCCUGUUGUAUCUGCUUGCUUAAUCUUCUCUGCGUUAUAUUCAAGUCGAAAACCCUAAGAUUUGGGGGUUUUUGACGAAUGUUGCUUUGUGUGUUUGGACUAGGGUUCUGUUUGUGCCCUAGACUCUCUCAGACUCAUUGUGAACCCACGUACUGAGUUUGAAUCCUUUUUGUGUAUGACUUUAUCUAUACUAGACUCCUCUGAUUAGCAUGACAACCCCUUUUUAUAUGUGUUAAUCUUUCUUGAAAAAAGGUUUUGAAUUUAUGUUUGAAUCAGAAUCCUUUUUGUUUUGGGGUUGAUUGAUUGCUAUUGAUCCCCCCUAGGUAAAACAUUUUCCUUAGUUGCAAAUCUUUGAUUUCUUGGCUUACUUGG